UGACGCAGCACGCCGCGUGGAGGAUGACGGCCUUCGGGUUGUAAACUCCUUUUGCGGGGGACGAUUGUGACUGUACCCCGCGAAUCAGGCUCGGCUAACUCUGUGCCAGCAGCCGCGGUAAGACAGAGGAGCCAAGCGUUGUCCGGAUUGACUGGGCGUAAAGCGCACGCAGGCGGCUGGGCACGUGGGGUGUGAAACCUGGCGGCUUAACUGCCAGACGCCAUCCCAUACGGCCCGGCUCGAGGCAGGCAGAGGUUCGUGGAAUUGCCUGUGUAGUGGUGAAAUGCGUAGAGAUCAGCAGGAACACCAAGGGCGAAAGCAGCGAACUGGGCCUGUUCUGACGCUCAGGUGCGAAAGCGUGGGGAGCGAACCGGAUUAGAUACCCGGGUAGUCCACGCCGUAAACGAUGAAUACUCGGCAUCUUUCGACCGAUUUUCGGCCGAGGGGUGCCCCAGCUAACGCGAUAAGUAUUCCGCCUGGGAA
rnacentral:rRNA from 1 species